rnacentral:tRNA from 1 species
GUUUUAAUAGUAUAUAUUUACAUUAUCUUUUCGUGAUAGAGAAGGAACAUUUCCUUAAAAUU